GAUUUCAACUGAAAAAGUCAUCAACAACAAAGUUGUAUAACUCAUCAAGAUCUAUAACUUCUAUUUUUGUCAUUUCUUCAUCCGACAAUGUGAUAGUAACAUUGUACACAAAAUUUGCAUAUCUCUCAUUUGGUUUUAUAAACUAUAAGAGAGAUAUAUAAAUUUUAUAAACAAUAUUACUAUCAUUUUAUCGGAUGAAAAAAUGAUCAAAAUAAAAGCUGUAUGUCUUGAUGAUUUCUACAACUUUUAUAUUCAUAACUUUUUCAGCUGAAAUU
rnacentral:pre_miRNA from 1 species